AUUACUGUAUUUUUUUUUUUUUUUUAAUUUGGAUCCGCGGAAGAGACCCGCCAGUGGAAAACGUGCCCACGGCAUCAAGGGGCUAAUAAUCGAGCCCCUCUCUUGGGGGGGUGCGGUUAGGGGGUCACGUUCGCCAUACGUUUUCUAUAGAUUGCUAUAGGACGCGUGGGUACGAACAGGCGCACGCACACGCGUGUCACUGUGCGGAGCGGUCCCUGGCCCGGCGCCGCUGUGCCGCAGCUCUCGUCCCCCGGUGCUCCCGCCCGGCCGCCGCUGCUCCCGGCAGCUCUCCCUGCCGACCUUUGGACGGGAGCCGGAUCUGCCUGCAACGCCAGACCGCGGCAGAAGCGCUCCUUCUAUACAGACGGACUCACGCAUAGAGGCACAUACAUAUAAAAAUAUGUCUAUCUCUAAUGUAAACACAUCGGCUGUUGACGCUGCCCUCGGGCAGCCCGCAUCCCUGCGGGGCGCAGGGGGUGACAUUGGCAGAGGAUUUGCACCGGUGCAGCGUGACCAGCCGCAGCAGCCCCGGGACGGGGCGGGGCGGGAACCCCGCCGCCCCCCCUCCCGCGUCCCCGCGCGCCGGGCGCGCCCGCGCAGCCCCCGCUCCCCGCCGCCGGCGGCGGCACCGACAGCCGCCUCCCUAAUCCCGUCUCACACUGGUACGAGCACAGGGCCGGCAACGUGACCCGACCUGCUGCCACAUCACUGCCGCCGGGCUGCACCGGGCGGCCCUUCCCCGCCGCCCCCCGCUAGCAGGCGGCGGCACCGGGCGGCACCGGGCGGCACCGGGCACCCCCGGCACGGGCUACCGCGGGCCGUGCCCCUCCGGCCCCGGGCAGCCCCCCGCCCCUCUUCGGGCAGCCCGCCAGCACCCUCCUGUCAGCGGAAGGACGGGGUGCCGGUGUCCGAGGGAAGGGGAUGCUCUUCUUUUCCGUGCCCCGGGCAAAGGCGCUGUCUGGGCGUGCGUGUGUGUCCCCGCGUGUGCGUGUCCCGGCCUGCGUGUCCCCGCGUGUCCCCGCGUGUGCGCCGUGCCUGCACGCCGGCGCCGCAUGUGUGGCCCUGCAACGUGCGGGGUGUGCAGCGUGUGCGGGGGAGCGCGGCGGCCCCGGCCCCACGUGCGGGGCGGGGGGAGCGGACACCCCGGACACCGCCACCCCCUCUCAGAGCCGGGCUGGCGGCUUUCUCUCCGGUAUUCCCGGCGGGAACCGCAGGCGGAAAGUGUCAGCUGAGGCGAUCCAUAGCCGCCGCCAGGGCUGACCGCUUGCUUUUCACUUGGUUCAGUUUUGCUCCCUCCCUUCCGCGGGCUCCGGCUCCUGGAGGUGUGUGACCUCCAAACCCGGGCUCCCACAGAAUCCAGGCGGAUGGGGAGGCGGGGGAAUUACCCCAAUAAAUACCAAACACGCCUCCGGCUGCCAAAAUAGAGACGGGAACCUCACAUCAUUCCUGUCUAAAGACCGUGUUUUACAGCUUCAUCCUCUCUGGAACAACAUGCAGAUCUUCAAAAUACGGAAAGAAUGUCCAGGGUGAGACCCAGCUUCUAGGAAAAGUUCUAAUUCCUAGUCCUCUGGAACCAAGUGGGAGCGGAAAUUGAAAAUUACCAAAGACUCAAAACAUGAGCUGAGACAGCUGGAGACUUUGCAAAAGGAGUUCAAACAACAUCUGGAAACUUCUAAGAGUUUUAUAAGAGGUCACCUGGAGACAAGGAUAAAAAGCUUCAGUGUCCAGAGAGAGUGCAAAAUCCUUCUGGAAGACUCCCAGUUUAAAAAGGCAGGAUGGAUCAAAGAGGUGAUCAGCAGCACAAGUAUCAUGCAAAAUAAUGUUUUCCAGAAAAUAAGAGGCACAACAAAAGCUUUGGCCAAUUUAUAAGCCAAGAUGAACCACAGCAAAGAGUUAAGAAAUUGAGAAAAUCAGUGAGAAAAGGAUAUAAAAGGCUUGCAGGUUACCACAGGAAAAAAAACAGCCUCCUGCUGCAGAUGAGCUGGCCAGCACACGGCCUACCACCAUCAUCUACCAGCAUUUCCAGUCUCCAGGAGGAAGGAAUCAGACUAUUUGUCCCAGCUGAUUCAGUGCAAAAGCCACAGUGUUUGAGGAAAAUACACCUGGGAGAUUUGUACAGCUCUGUCCAUAACCAAGGCAUGAGGGAAUGGCUCUGAAAUGGGAGUCCUAGGAGCCAAUUUGAUGGGGUCAGUUCUUAUGUCAGUGAGCACUAGCCUUCAGGAAAAGAGAUUAAAUUAUCUAGUCUGGCUGUAUGACUAGAAUCAACCAUCAAAUUAGAGAGAGCUGUGUGCCACAAAGUGGGGGACAAAGAGAAUUCAGCUGAAGGAUCUGGAUUAUUUUGGUUGAAUAACAAGGUAUUCAACCAGAGAAAAUUGGACACUGACCUAAUAACAGGUUUUUUUUUCAGUAAGGGGAUGACCAGAUUGAGAUCAGGGAAAAAGGGAAAUGUAAGCACAUAAAAAUCUGAGCUGGGUCAGACAAAAGGUCCUGGAGACCUGGAGGAGAUGCUUUGGGAGGAGCAGACAAGCAGCAUGGACGCAGUGCAAGCUCCCUAUGCCAGUCUCCCAGGUCCUGGUGACCUGCAGGGCAGAGACUUUCUGAGUCAGGAACGAUAACUCUGUAUUUAAUGGGAAGCCAAAGAUGCCCUAAGAGGCUGAGGAAUGUGCCAAGUCUUUAAAUGAUGGGCUGCAGCAGAGCAUUGGGCCAGUUAGCAGGCAGUGAGAAGGUGGUCAGUCCUGUCAGCGCAGUGCUGUGGCUCACGUGGGGACAAGAAAAGAGAACUUCCACCUCAGAGAGUACCACACACACCCAAUGUAUGUAAAGCAAGAGAGACAGGGGCCAUGCAAAAACAGAGCUGAGCUCAGAAGCAGAAAUAAAAUAACCUGAGUGUGGGAACGUGGUGGGCCAAGACAAGACACAACGUGCAGCGAGCCCUUUGCAGAGUUGCAAAAUGAGGAAAUGGGGGGAGUUCCAGCUGGGGGACAGAGUCAAGACCACAUUUUUGUGGAGGACUGGUGCAAAAAUCUUACCAGGCAGACACUGGUCACAGUCUGCUAUACUUUGGCUCAUCUUAGGCCAUGUGAAAUGGGUGAUACCAGAGAUGGGCCAGUCUCCCAAACCAGCCCUUGGGCUAACGGUGACUGAGCUAAUCAGUUUGUAGUGGAUAGUGGUGACAAGAGAAUGUAGACACUUCCCAAACCUGGGGAAGUCAGAAAUAAGGCACUGGAGCAAUAAGGCGUGUUGAUGUCCUGAUAAACACCAGGAACUGUGCCUUAUCCCAUCAGUUUGGAAAUUCCCUUUAAAGGUGUGUUUCCAGUGAAGCUCAAUGUUUGCAGAUGGCUGAGAACCUCUCCUGCCUUCGAGGACAGUAAAAAAUAAAGGUGACUCCACUCUGAGGUCACUGCCAGCCCUGAUUGAUGAGAGAGUCUGAAUCCUGGGACCUUCAGAGACUCUUCCACAACAGGUCAGUCAGAUCUUGGGUAUGUGAUACAGACAGGAUCUCCUGUCUGCUGGGUGCCUUCCAGGAACAUCAACCAGGAACAAGUAAAACAAUCUUCCCCCUAAAUUCCCCCUCUGAAGUCCCUGGAAAGAAGCUCUGUCUGAGCAUGAAGGCCCCUUGGAUGAUGGGUUCAGUUUGGUCAGUCACAAGAGAUCUGAAAGUGUAUAUCAAUCAACAGGCAGAAAAGACAAAGAAAAAGAAGGGAAAAUUGCUUUCUCAGCAAAGCCUGACCUGGCAGUUUAGUGAUGGCUGGGGGCUUAUGUAAAGCCCCAGCUGUGCUGGAGAGGCUGUUGGGGAAGGCAGGGCACACCAUGCCAACAGGAGGCCUUGGAUGGCCUCAACCUUCCAAGAGGUCUGUUGUGCUUAGGCUAUUUAUGGGUACACGCCGAGACCUUUGAACAAGUGGUAGGUGCGUGGACAGCGUGGCCUGUGGUAAGUUCAAGGCUGACAGUUUCUAACUUGUCCCAAAGGAAAGGGAGUUGUUCCAAGAGCAGGUGACUUCAGCGUGCUCCACCAACUGGUGAUGGGGAAUUUCCACUGAAAAAAGCAAAAGCGAGACUGCCCGGAGCUGGCCCGCUCCCCGGAGCUGCAGGUCCACAGGACUCUGCUCCUGGUACAGAGAGAGAUGUGCUGUUUAUAGCUAUGUUAACAUUGCAAAACCUUGCUUGGGCACAGUGACAGAUGGAGACCAUUUUAGUGGCCAGCAGAAUGAGAUUUAGCAGUUUCCACCUGUGCAACUCUUGCCAGUGGUUAAAUUUACUGAUGGGUUCUGCUGGUAUUUGCACAGGAGGAACAGUGUAAUCAGUGUACUGAUUUGUACAGGGGUACAGGCUGUGAAUCCCUGCACUAGCUCAUUCUGUGGGCUUCCCAAAUGCAAUUUGCCCAAGUCUUUAGGAAAACGGCAAUUUUGCAACUGCACAAUUUACGACACAUCUGGUCAUAAGUGGAGUAGCAGGGAUGCCGAAUCCAGGCAGAACCUUUGGGAUGCAGUGCAACGGUGUCACAAAGAGUUGAUUCUUCAGAGGGAUGAAUGCAGAGAGGGAGAUGUUGUUUCCUCUCAAACCACUCAUGGAUGUGCAAAUACUUCCCAGCUGACUCAGGAGAACCAAGAAGGGGAAGUGCCAGAGGAGAAAUGUGGGCUCCUGAAGAUUCUAAAGGCUGCAGACUAUUUCACAAAAUGCCCUGGAGCUUGUCUGUUAGGACACCAGUGCCAGAUGUCCAAGUGAAAGAUGUCCUCUCCCUCCAACUCCUAGGAGAUUCUUCCAGUCAAGUGGCUUGCUCCUCAGAACUGCCUGAAGUGGUAACACCCAGCAUAUUCCAGUCUUUUGGGAGGCCCCAGGACAAGCAAAGCACUUCCUUAUAGUUUUGAUGAAAAACUAAGGCCUUCUGCAUGCAUUUUUAUGGACUUCUGGGAGAAGAAGAAAGACUUUUGGGUCAUGCAUAGAAGCACAUGUUCCUUUUUUUUUUUUUUUUUUUUUUUUUUUUUUAAUCAAGUGGAAGAAGAAGAAACAGUGUGAAAGUCUUUAAUACUUUGGACUUGCUGUAUAAGGCCAUGUGGUACUGACCUGGAUAUUUAUGGUGGUUACACAUUACAGUGGGGUCCCAGGCUGUCACAAGGGCCCAUUAGAAAAUGUAGCAGGAAAACAACACACUGGGCAAACAAAACUUCAGGGUUCCACUCUUUCUCUGUCCUUCCUUCACUGCAAAUGUAGUUGUGGAAAGCUGAGGCUGGAGAAGCUGAAGCACAGAUCCCCUUCCUCCCUGCUAGCUCCAAAGGGGCAGAGAUUUACAGGAGCACUGCAUGCACCUGGGAGUGGCUGCUUAGAAGGAAAUCAAGGAGCAGAAAACGGCGAGAACAGGGACUAUAAAUGUUUUGGAUUAGCAAUAGGAAAAUACCUUCCUGAAGCACACUGUGUAAUUACAGUAAAUAGGAAUGUGUCAUUCAUCACUUCUUAAAUUAUUUUCUCUCAUUCACAGUGUGGUGGGUUUAUUAGAGCCUUGUCAUUUUGAGCUCCUUCAGAAUAAAGGAGGAAGCUGAGAGGUCAGGUGUGGGAGGGAAGCCGAGUCCUUCUACAUCCAAGUGUGCAAGACAAGGAGACAGAGUAGUCUCCCUCCUCUAAGAGACAGAAACCAUCCCAUUCCAGACACUUGGCUGCAGACAGGUGAGUGCUAAGAAGAUGUGAGAGAAGUCAGAGGAGAAGCCUAGUGUGCGUUUUUGGGUACAGAUGCUACUUGGAGCCAGCUGGCUCUGGAGCAAAGAGCCCAACCGCUCUUGUAUGAGUCCUCCGGGGUUCUGGUUGGGAAGGACUGAGCUUUUUAGCUAGAAGGACAGGAGGAGAAAUCAGGGGAUCUGUUGGUGCCUGUC